rnacentral:lncRNA from 1 species
UUUUUUUUUUUUUUCUGAAAAACUUAACUAUGUCAUGCCUUGUCAUUCAUUUCCAUAACUAAACUCUUUCUGUGAACAGUGUAUGUGAUACACGUACCCAUUUCUUUUCUUUUUUUAAAAAAUGUUAAAUGUAAACUUUGGUCCACUUAUGCACAGAAAUUCUUCUGAGUUUAUUGGAGAGUCCCAGAGUGAAUCAUGAUAGGAUGCAGAACUGUUGAGGAAAAGGAAGUUUUGAAGUACUAUAGCUUGGGAUCCCAGGCUAUUUAAAGACAGAGCUUUUGCUGAUUUCCCUAGCUCACUGUGAAUUUCAGCAUGAUUGUGUUUGACAACAUGAACUUUAGGACACAUUACGAAACAGUACAUAGCUGCUGUGUCCCAGGAGAAGUGCUGAGAAGAAUAUUGGGCAGCACAGGCUCAAUUUCUCCCCCGUUUCUUUGUUUUAGUGGGAAGACACCUGUUGCGCCCAGCCAACUCCUAUUGAGUUUGGCUUGUUCAGCAUCUCUCAUAGAUUUCAUCAUGCUACUAGGUGCCUAUCUGCAGCGAUAAAUGCCUUUAAACAUUAGCUUUUGUAUUUGCCUCUUCCUUCAGGCAUAUAAUGUGAUGCAAAUGUCUAAGGACUCUUGAUUUGCGUACUGGACAGAAAAGUAAACUGAAGUAGUCAGAAAAUGUUUAGAUUGGAUAUGAAAGGGAAAUAUCUAUACCCAUAAGCUGGGAUAAGGACGGUUCUGAAAUCUUCAUUCAAGGUUUUCAAAAAUAGUUCAGAAAAUACCUGUCAGGGUUGAUAUAAGUGUACUUAAACUUGCCUCAGAGAAAAAGCACGGAAUAUCCUCUCAGCCCUGUUGUUCUACAAUGUCCCUACUGGGGCACGCUAAGCUUUGGAGGAUGUGAUCUGCCCACAUCUGUAGGGAUAAGAAUGUUCUAUCCUUCAAUUAGCUAUCAGAAGCAAUAUUUAAUUUUUAAAUUUACAGUUUAUGAGCAUGAUAGAAUAAGCUGUCUGUGUGAAGAGCUGUCUUUCUUUGAAGUAAAUUAGAGUUCCAGCACAGAAGACAGGAUCAUAUAAAAGAUUAAAAAAAAAUGGAAUCGGAUUUGUAAAUAUUCUUUUUUAUUACUGUUUUCAAUUUCUGAUUUAGAUACAUAACAAUGGAUUUCUAAGCAGCUUGCCUAUUCAAUUUCUUCAAAACCAGACUUCAGUUUCUCCAGAGGGCUUCUUCCAAAACUUAAAUAAAACCAUUUCAUUACUUGAAAUAAAAUUCCAAUUACUUAAUGUAAGUUUUUACUAAGCUGCCUAUUGAGAGAAAGAGAAAAAGACGUAUUUCCAUUACUAUAUUCUCAGCUGAUUUAAACAAGGUGUAGUAAUUUUUCAUAACUAUUGUUGCAAAAUAAAGUGGAAUGGCAAUGCACAGAUAAA